UAGGUGCUAAUUCCAGUUGUCAGCUCCCAGCUAGAAAUUGCUACAGGUUCUCGGGAUAUACUAAAGAUUAAAGCUUGUCUGUUUUCAGUUUGCACUUCCCUUGUGGUUAGAGGCAGGGAAUCACUUUCUCAUCCUUUUAUGCUCAAAAUCAGAAAAACAUUGGAGACAAUGCUAUUAUGGCCUUCUGUUGAUGGGGAUGAAGUAUCUAAAGCACAGCAUGGGUGCAUUGAUUCCCCGG